GACCGCACUGGUGGCCUAGUGCUUAGAGCAUCUGCCUCGAAAACAGGAGGUUGCAGGUUUGAACCCUGUUUGAGUCA